rfam:Hordeum vulgare subsp. vulgare, WGS project CAJW01000000 data, contig: morex_contig_1438055
GCCUUGAUGGUGAAAUGGUAGACACGCGAGACUCAAAAUCUCGUGCUGAAGAGCGUGGAGGUUCGAGUCCUCUUCUAGGCA